rnacentral:rRNA from 1 species
AUGUUCUACCCGCCGCAGGGGCCGCUGCGGUGUGGUGGUGCUGGCGGCGACGAGGAAGAUGGUGCGCCGGAGGAGAUGCCGCAUCCCUGGGCCGAUUGGGUUCCCGACGACGUCACGAGGGCCAGGGCGGGAUUCGGCCUCUCGCUGGCCGAACGGCAGAGGAGGAGAGAUGAUGGCCGCAGCUACUCGGGACGGUACCAUCGCGUCCCCGGCACGCUGCAACCCGAGGAGUUCUACGCGAAAACUGCAACGGGCGACGAGAGUCAGCUGGAUGGAGCCGACUUCGACGGCGGCGAGAUCGCCGGCGGCGACACGGAGACCAGCGUGCAUGCUACGGUGGACCAGCGGCAAGAGGGGGUCAACGGGCGGGUGUCGACGCCCUCUAUUGCGACAGCAGAGCCUCCCGCGCUGGGAUUGGGUGCGACGAGACAACAAAUGCUAGGCGACAAGACCUCGGACGCGGCGCCGCUGAACGCCCUUGCCCCGCAGCCGACCAGUACGGUAGAUGGCGCUGCACCCGAUCAGAUCCAGCGGGCCACCACUUCCCCUCCCAUGAUUACUGCGGAGUGCAGCUGCCUGGUCGCCUUGGAUCAGGGAGCGUCAGAUGCUCUUUUGUGUCCCUCUCUGUCGACGGACUGGGUCAAUGGGGAGGCAGUGGUGGAAAGCCUCGCUGCAGCCUUGCAGGGGGGCCCAGGGCCAUGCAUGCCCGCUGGUGGCUAG